ensembl:lncRNA
GCCAGAAGCUCCGCUGCGCUUCACUAAAACCCGCCCUUUACACGCCUCUCAGGAACAACGCAAACCGAGCAUGAUAAAAGCGGCCGUUUGUUUGCAUGCUUUGUUAAAUAUUUAAAUCCAAAAAGCAUCGAUGUUUUACUAUAAUUGUCCUAAGUACACUGAGCAUAAUGAAUUAAUUUAUCAGGAUUGAAAAUUACCCAGCCAGCAAUGACAUGUGGGGCCCAGAUGGGUUCCAUGGUUACUGAGUGGGCAUGGGCUUUGGCUGGGUGAAAUCAGCGGGUCCCAUGUACACUGUAAACCCUAAUGUUGUCAUUAAUAAAGAAAUCAAGUUAACAUAACUUCACAUUACUUAUAACACACAGUUUUGCCAUCAAAACUUAAACAGGUGUGUUUAACUUACUCAUUGGCAGUAAAAAUCUUUUGAAUUAAGAUUUUAAGUGUUAUAAACUCAGAAUUUCCAUUUAUUUAAAUUAUUCGCUACAUCUCUGUUUAAAAAUGAUUGGUCGUGCUUGAAAUUCUGCCUUGACAACAGCGCCGAUUGGCCAAUAUAACACAAGGCGGGAAUUUUUUGUCGAAUUUGCUGAAGACGCAGCACUGACUGCAGGCCAGAACGGAGUCAUUUGCAGAGCCACCUGAAAGAAGAACUAAAUAAUAAAGUUAAACAGGUAAGUAAAGAUUUAAACGCAACCCAUAAAUAUACACACAUUUUUUUGGUUUCCUUAUACGUUUUAUUGUAAUGUUAUUUGCAUGGUGAAAACACUUUACCGUUUUACUCUGGCAGCUGGCCAGCGGCACAAGCAGCCACACAGGCGGCGAAGCAGGCGGGAAGAGAGUCGUCGUGAAAGACUCAGAGUACGCUGGGACAGUAGCAGGCAGGCGGUUAUGAAGCAGACGAGGAGUCGUGUAUAGGAUAUAUAAGGAGUGACGUUACGCUGGUAAGUUCAUCUAUAACACGCCUGUAUAUUUUGCUUUAUUGUCUGUUAAAUGUUUUAUUUUUAUACGGAUGGACAAGGUAUAAAUGGCUUUAAGUUAAAAUCACCCAACUUCCAAACCUAGCAAUUGUUUUACAGACUAGCGCUGUUAGUUUACAAUAGGCCUUAGCAUGAUAUUGCGGCUCAAACUUCGAGAAAAAUCUAUUUACAGACACACUGAAAUGUCUCUGUGUGUAAUUUGUGAAAUGACGUUUUUUUUUUUUUGUUGUAAAAUUGGGCAGCCGCGUGAAUACUGACUUAGGCCUAACGUUAAUCGUUUUAAGAAUUUCUUUGGCGGUUCAUGUUCACUAAAAACCGCAGACCUUUUCCCGCCUGCGACACAUUUACAGAGAUAUAUUAUUAAUUAAUAGUUAUGUGGAUGUAACGUGUCCCUGGUGCAUAAUAUUAAUUAUUCUUUUUACAGUAGUUUUUAAAUGCAUCUAUGGAUUUUUAUUUUUAUUUUCUUCUUUAACAAGUUACCAUUAGCAGAGCUGUGUCUAUUUGCCAUGUCCCCAUGAGUGAUUUGUAGACUAUAAUUUUCACUGUCAGGUAACAGUGAUUUGAGA